CUUCUUCCUCUUCGUCCUCUGCUAGGUGCCCCUUGCUCUCCUUCCUCUCUUGUUUCUCCUUCCUCUGCUUUCCCUCAGCCGCCUCCCUUUCCUCUUUCUCUCUUUCAAAACCAGCCUCCAUGAGACACUCGAGGGUUUUUCUGGCGUCCUCACUCGACCCAGCUCCUCUCCGUACAAUCGGCAGAGAGGAAGUGAAAGAGCCAAAAAUAGUUCUUUCUGUGCUGCUAGGGCUCCGGCUCCUGCCCUGCUGGCUUUGUGGAGCUGGGUGCUCAUAAACACAGCGCUGUUUGCUGAGCUGAUUCAACAAGCAGCAUUAACUUGAUAAACUAGUUUUGCAAGUGCCAUUGCAGCAAGUAUUAGUCGAGAAAUUGCAGUGGCCUGCUUCUUUCCAGCACACCAUGGAAGGCCAAACUUCAGAGGGGCCUCAGCUUAGUCCCUGUCUGCAUGGAUGGAGGAGUUCAGGAAAUGAGAAUUCCCAGAAGCAGACCAGAGACACUGCAAAAGCAUUGUAUCAGAGAAGAAGGAUAUAGAUCAAUGCCAUCAGGAAAAUGUGCUAGCCUUGGGACCAGACCAACUUGAAUAUUUAGUUCUUUCAAUUCUUUUACAGUUGAUAGACAUAACAACAACAAGAUUAGGCCAAAUCUCACAAGCUUUGCUAAGGGGUCUAGAGAAGAAGCAGCCUUGAACUAGGAAUCUCCCUUUGUGAGAAGAUCUAGCUUCUGGUAUUUGCCCUGUGAAGAACAAGACAAGAGCGAUCUUUCUGCAAGACAAGAUCACAGCUGAAACCAAAGAACAAUAUGGACAAGCUGGUAGCAGCUACUGACAUGAUAAACACUGUGCAAGUAGAGUUUUCUUCUGUAUAACAGCAACAGGAUGCAGACCCACGGGGCAGGAGGACCUCGGCUCGCGCGCCCCCGGCAGAGCGCAGCGCGGCAGCGGAGGGGACUGGAGAAGCCCUCGACAGGCCACCGGCGCGCGCUGCCCUCGGGUAACCAGCGGGCCCGGGGCAGGCGCGC